rnacentral:rRNA from 1 species
AAUCCAUAGGUUAAUGAGGCGAACCGGGGGAACUGAAACAUCUAAGUACCCCGAGGAAAAGAAAUCAACCGAGAUUCCCCCAGUAGCGGCGAGCGAACGGGGAGGAGCCCAGAGCCUGAAUCAGCAUGUGUGUUAGUGGAAGCGUCUGGAAAGGCGCGCGAUACAGGGUGACAGCCCCGUACACAAAAGCGCAUGUGCUGUGAGCUCGAUGAGUAGGGCGGGACACGUGGUAUCCUGUCUGAAUAUGGGGGGACCAUCCUCCAAGGCUAAAUACUCCUGACUGACCGAUAGUGAACCAGUACCGUGAGGGAAAGGCGAAAAGAACCCCGGCGAGGGGAGUGAAAAAGAACCUGAAACCGUGUACGUACAAGCAGUGGGAGCCCCACCACCAAAGCA